CACUUCACUGGCAUUAAAACUGUGUUCACGACCGAUCAUUGCUAAAAUAUAUGUAUUUAGUUGCCUACACUAGUCGGAAAAGUGUACAUCUCACUUGUCCUUUACUUCAGUUCACGAUUAUUUUUCGGUGUUCUGAGAUUGCAAGAAUAGGAAUUUUAUUGACGAGCAUUGAAGAGCGUUAAUUUACGUAAAAAUAGUGAGAAUGGAAACCUUAGAUUGAAACCCAAUUCAUCACAAUAAUUAUGAUAAAAUAAUACAGAAGUUCAGACUCCCACCUCGUCACUUUAUUGAUCAUUUGGACCCUCGUCAAUUAUGACAAAUGUAAAUACCAACGAUAAGCCUAGACAAACAAAAUUUCACCACAUCGUCGAGGACCAGAAAUCACUUAUCUACACAUGUCCCAAUAGAUAAAGCAAAGAACUCGGCGAUAAUGUGGAUGACUGAUGGGUUUAGAUAAAUUUACGGGGGUCGUGACGAGCAUUAACAUUGUCGGGACACUCAUGCCCAUGAGUACAAAGGCAUUAACAAUGGGCUUCCACCAAGAUAAGAAAGUUGCGGCAACAGCAGAUAUUAGCAUGAACCAACUGAAUGUUUUACUAAAAGGGGAAUAAAGCAAUUAACUAACAUUAAAA